CCUACGGGGGGCUGCAGUGGGGAAUAUUGGACAAUGGGCGAAAGCCUGAUCCAGCCAUGCCGCGUGUGUGAAGAAGGCCUUCGGGUUGUAAAGCACUUUCAGUGGGGAAGAAAGCCUUGGGGCUAAUACCCUCGAGGAAGGACAUCACCCACAGAAGAAGCACCGGCUAACUCCGGCCAGCAGCCGCGGUAAUACGGAGGGUGCGAGCGUUAAUCGGAAUUACUGGGCGUAAAGCGCGCGUAGGCGGUCUGAUAAGCCGGUUGUGAAAGCCCCGGGCUCAACCUGGGAACGGCAUCCGGAACUGGCAGGCUAGAGUGCAGGAGAGGAAGGUAGAAUUCCCGGUGUAGCGGUGAAAUGCGUAGAGAUCGGGAGGAAUACCAGUGGCGAAGGCAGCCUUCUGGACUGACACUGACGCUGAGGUGCGAAAGCGUGGGUAGCAAACAGGAUUAGAUACCCUGGUAGUC
rnacentral:rRNA from 1 species